GUUAUAUUUGCAGUAUUAAAGAUUUUCUUAAUUCGUUUAGUAAUUAUGGUAGAAAAUGAUGUUUGGUGAGUGUGAGUUCACUGCUCAUUGUUAGAACAUCUUUAUUUAUAUUUGUAUAUUUUUGACGUCCUACUAUUGUUUUGGUAAGUAUGAAAUUUACUGGUUGCUCUUAAUUAAUACUUUAUUUCUUGGGUUAAACACUAAAAAUGUAUAGCUUAUUUUGAAAUUCUAGGGUUUUGUAUGCACUUUAUUAAGAGAUACCUGCCUUAACUCCAAGGUUGCAAGCAUUUGUUAAACUAUUUUUCACAAAAACAUUUGCAGACAUUGAAAAAUGGGUCAAUUCAUAUCCUUUCC